rnacentral:rRNA from 1 species
CGGGAGGCAGCAGUGGGGAAUAUUGGACAAUGCACGAAAGCCUGAUCCAGCCAUGCCGCGUGUGUGAAGAAGGUCUUCGGAUAGUAAAGCACUAUAAGUUGGGAGGAAAGGAUGUAGAUUAAUACUGUGCAAUACUGACGUACCGACAGA